AAAGUCCAGGUGCGUCCUGUGAUGGGACGCUGAAAAAGGAAGCCGGGUGAGAGUCCCGCACGGAGCCGCCGCUGUAAGUGGAGUGCCUGCGCCAAUGGGUCACUGGUCCUGUGGACUGGGAAGACGGCGCGGGCGGAGAGCCACGAGUCAGAAGACUUGCCUGGAAA
rnacentral:ncRNA from 1 species